rnacentral:rRNA from 1 species
GGAGUUUGGACCGUGUCUCAGUUCCAAUGUGGGGGACCUUCCUCUCAGAACCCCUACUGAUCGUAGGCUUGGUGGGCCGUUACCCCGCCAACAACCUAAUCAGACGCAUCCCCAUCCUAUAGCGGUAAACCUUUGAUUCAACUUAGAUGUCCGCAUUGAAUAACAUAGAGCAUUAAUCCGAUUUUCACCGGGCUAUUCUCUACUAUAGGGAAGGUUGGAUACGCGUUACUCACCCGUGCGCCGGUCGCCAUCAAUCAAAGCAAGCUUCGAUCAUGCUGCCCCUCGACUUGCAUGUGUUAAGCCUGUAGCUAGCGUUCAUC